rnacentral:rRNA from 1 species
CAGUAGCCGCGGGAAUACGGAGGGUGCAAGCGUUAAUCGGAAUUACUGGGCGUAAAGCGCACGCAGGCGGUCUGACAAGUCAGAUGUGAAAUCCCCGGGCUUAACCUGGGAACUGCAUUUGAAACUGUCAGGCUGGAGUCUUGUAGAGGGGGGUGGAAUUCCAGGUGUAGCGGUGAAAUGCGUAGAGAUCUGGAGGAAUACCGGUGGCGAAGGCGGCCCCCUGGACAAAGACUGACGCUCAGGUGCGAAAGCGUGGGGAGCAAACAGGAUUAGAGACCCGAGUAGUCCCUGUCUCUUAUAC